AUGGUCAUGACAUGUUGAGACACCAGUUCUCAUUUGAUCACCAAAGUUAAGCAACAUCAAGACAGGUCAGUAUCUAGAUGGGUAACCACUUGUGAAUACCAGGUGCUGUAAG